CAAGGUUUGAUUAAACCUUUCACACAGGCCAUUUGUUUGAGGUUGAAAUGCUGAGUCCCCUCUCACCGCCAUUUCCAGACAUUUGAUCAAGGUUUGAUUAAACCUUUCUCACAGGCCACUUGUUUGAGGGUGAUCUGCUGAUGAGACAUGGUGCUUUGUACCCGUCAUUUUCAGCAUCUCUGCCACUAACUGAUCGUUGAACUCCCUCCCUUGGUCGGUGACAAUUGAUGCAGGAAAAACCCAACCUAUGCACAGAGAAUAAGAUUAUUGUAGGACUACAAAACAAAAGAAAAGAUUUGACAAUUAGUUCACUUUGGUAGCCAAAUUCUAAAAGUUGUGAACCAAUCAGGUUCCCUAGUCCAAUGCCUGGUAAUUUCUAGAUGUGUGUACCCGCUCUUAAAACAUGAUCCAAUCCAAGAGACUGGGGGCUUUCUAAUCUUCCUCAAGCAUCAAAAUAUUUUACAUAUUAUCACAACAAGAUGAUUCUACAUUAUUUAAUAAAAACCCUCAUGCACCUCACAACACACAAAUCAUUAAAGCAGCAAUGUAAUGUUAAUUGUUAUUGUAUAAUUGUGUAAAGUGGGGGCACGCUACAAGAGUCCUAUCUCGCACCCCGGGGCAACGUGUCUGACACGGCCGGUUGUAGCAACUACUCCGAAGAUCAAGAUCUAAGGAGACACUAACGAACGAACUAGAGAAAUAUGAUGAAUUUAAAUUACUCCAAUAUCUAUUUUUUGAACAUUUCUGACUAGUAUUUAAACUCACAACAUAAAACUUAAAUCUCUGAAAGGAAGACACAAAUCGUACUUUGUCAUAUUUUUUAUAAGAACAGUAACGUACCAACUUUUUAGUUUUGGGCCACACACUUUCACUGCCACUGUGACACUUUGACAAUUCUAACGUUAAAGUUAGAGUAGGCCUACCGAUACAGUUCUCUGGUUACAAGUUCUUUUGCUAUUUUAGCUCUAAAUUUUUGUUCACAUGUUAUGAGGAGUUCAUUCCAACGAUGUUGAUUAAAAUGUAAACGAAUGCACAGAUGCCCAUGCCUGGAAUAAACAAAGAAGUCACACCAGGUCCUCUGCCAUACACCCAUUUGUAGCUGCACCUGGGAGAAGUAUGGAUGAUUCUCCUUGAGGGAGGGUCUGCCAUUGAUCAUGUUGACGUAAGGAAGGGUUUCAUUAGGUUGUGUGUGCGCUACGGAAAUGGGGCAUUUAAUUUCUAACAGCCCUGACCCGCAACACCUGCAGGACACAACAGCAUCGGCACUUGCUCCAACAUACACCUGGUCCCCUUUUAUUUGAAGGUCACACUCCUCAACACAAAGGUGCUUAUGCCCUGCCGACUUCAUCGCUUCCUUAUAUUUGUAUCGAGCCUCGUCCUCUAACUCUCUCCCAUACUUCAGUGACGGUAUGUUUGGGUUCACAGUCGUGUACCCCAAAAUCUGCUUAACAUUUGCUCCACAGUCUAAACUCUUCCCCUGACUGCCCAUCAACCUCUUUCCUUUUGUGAAAACGCUGUGAGUGAUAGAGCCAAUAACUCUUCCUUUUCUUGGAAGUACCCAUUCUUCAUUUGAAGCUUGUCCACGGGUGGCUUUCUCCAACUUGACAACCUUGGCAGAACUUGUCACAAACACUAUAUUAAUUUGUUGUAUUACUGUUAUUACUAUAUGACAUGCUAUUCACAAUAUAAUUUGAGUACUGCCCUAAGAGAAAAGGAGAAAACUGCAAAUUAAAGAUAUUUUAGCGCAUGGCAAUGGGAAAGUUGACCAUCGAUAUGUAACAAUUGACUCAUCAAAUUGCCAAUUUGAUAUGUGCAUACAUGUAGAUCUAGUGAACUCUUGUUCUUAAAACAUCCCAAACUUUUUUUAUACCUUGUCCGAUGUACCAUCCUACCUUUCUUAUAUUGAAGCUUUCACACAAAUUAUAUUAUAUGGGUAGUGACUUCUGAAAAUACUUAAGUCUGUGUUGAGACUUUCUGCCCCAUUUUUUCUUUUUAUUGUAGACUUUUGUCUUUAUCGUUAAAGGAUCAAAUGAAACUUCCUUUUAAUUCCUUCCAGCAAAUGUCUCUAACUCCUUGCGAUCUGUUAAAAAUGGCGCGGUAGUGUCAGCUGCUGAAUCCAAAGUAUCCUGGGGCAUACUGCCAGGGGAUACAAUAUUAAUAAUAAUUGAUAAAAAUAAUAAUAAUAAUGAUCAAAAUAACAACAAUAAUAUUCCACUCUUGUAUACUACAUAUCACAUUAUCAUAUAAUGUCUUUAUGUUUAAACAUAGGAGAUGGCAUUUCUUGACCUUGGGAGUUCAAUUAAUUUUUUUCUUUCUUUGUUUGGAAGUCGAGAAAUAUAAGUCUUUACAGCUUUUAUUUUGUUACGGCUGAUCUUGUUACACAAGUUGCAUUAAAAGAAUGUCUUUGAAGAAAAUUUUGGACUGAAUUAAUUUCCUUUAGUUAGCUAUGUUUCUUAUUUGAGUUUCCUUUAUAGUCACUGUGCUGCCUGCCCUUCACUUUCCAACAAAAUAUAUACUGUUUGAUUUUAUGUAAUUACCAGGUAGACUCCUAGAGGCUUCUCCGUGAAUGUAUUUCCCAGGGAAGAUUCUCGAUCAUCUGUACCAGAGCAAGAGUCUGCGACCAGAGCGAUAUUUGUGGAGGCUUUCUUUGAAUCCUUUUGCCUCCAUCACUGGACUCUUCAUGUCAACCUCCCUCUUGUCCAUGAAGUGAACGUUGAACACGCCUUUCGUAUCGGGCUCCAUGAGCGUGUAAUCAGAAAGAAAAAAAGUACCGGUACUAUUAUACAGAUAUUGCCUGCCUUGAGGUUUAAUAAAUUAUUCAAUUCCCCAAACGGAGUUAUAUUUUCCCCAAGGGACUUGUAAGAUAUUUGCCAAUGAGACCCAAUACCUGAAGUUUUACUUCCGCUGUCGAAGUAGAAAAGUCAUGUAGGAUGGCGCUCCUCAACCCACCAUAUCAUGUACCGAUGUUGAGCAGUUCUGUGAAUUCAUCGUAAAACUCGCAAACGAUUUCCACGGUAGCGGGGUAAUACACCUCUUCAAAUGUUCUUACUGUACAAGAAAGCAACAAACCCUUUUGGAUCCCAAAUGAAUAUGUAUCACAAGAAAAUAAUCAGGCUACUUCAAGAGUAAAUAUAGUGUACAUAUUUAAUUAAUAGCCAUAUGCUCAAUAAUGUACACACAAAUAAAUGACAAAGCAAAGUGAAAGUUGCCGCAAUCAAUGAAUCUACCGUAGCUGCCUGUCUUCUGUUCGAAUACCACUUCUUUCUUGAAGGCCAUUGCAUCUAGCAUAAGCAUGCAAUGUGCCAUAAUGGGGGUGUGCUGCAACCAUUUCCUUGAGAUGUGCGAUGACUUCUGUGAGAAUACCAGGCUGGCAAUUUAAACCUGUACUCCACUGACGUAUGGUGGAUAGAUGAGGGAGGCAAUGAUAAGUGCAGAGGAAAUCGUAAGCCUGGGAACUGUAAAAAUGGAGAGUCACUGCAAAAAAUUUCAGCUCUUCGGAAUAAUGGUGACCAUGCUUGUUUGUGUCUUUAGCUUUCAGCUCAUUUUCAAAGAGUUUAAAUGUGUUCUCUUCAAAGUUGUGUUGAAGUAGGCCAAGCUGAUCCUUGCUAACAAGCAUGUUUUUGUGGACUGCCUGUAAGAGAGUACUGAUUUUUCCAUCUCUCCUCUUUACUCUCUGUUUCACCACUUUAAGCUGUUUCUUGGCAUCCUGCAGUUACUGUCUGGCUAUCUUCAGUUUUUGAUCAAUUGGGAUAGAAGAAGAAUAGUCAUGUUCUUUUGCGAUGUCGUAGGGUUUCUUUGGAGGCACUGGAACACUUUUGGAUGUUGUACAUGGUUUUGUUGGGAGUCUUGAGCCAUGGGUUUGUUUAUAGGGAGGAUGUCCGAGAAAGAUGGUGGGCACAGCACAAGGAAGGAGAUGGUGGUGGUGUGUAGCUUCCUUUUCCUCUCUCAGAUGUAUUCCUGCAUUACAAUAAAAGCAAACAGAAACAAAAAUGAGUUUUCUCAUGACAUGACAAAUGUUCUACUAUUUCAUAUAAUCAUGCAGCACCUUCGAAAAUUCAGAAAAAUAGCAUGCCUCAUAGGAACAGGUUAUCUCAUCGCAAUGGAGAAAAUCUUGACGAAUACAGCAAUACAUGUUAGUAUGCACCUCUUUGAUCUCGCUCGUUUCAGUAUUGCGAUAGCGCGAUACUGCUGUACAAAGCUAUGCUUAUGCUCCACCGUCGAGUGCUUGUACCCUCUCUCAUUGAGCUUGUAGUAAGCUCUCUAGCCGUCGGAGUAGAUUGUAGAGCCAUUGGCAAUGUGCCUCUUAAUGAGGGGAGCAGAGUCGCCUCAUCCCUAUUAUCUACUGGGUAGAUGAUCAACAUAUUAGUGCUCCUCUCUACCAUGCUGAAGAUCCAAACUUUUAGUCCUCUCGGAUCACCAUGGUUGUACUUACAUCUCCGGCCAAAUAGACAUUCAUAAUGUCUUCUCCAUCCUCAGGAGUAGUGCAGGUCGUUCACAUACUUGCGAGUAAUGUCUUGCAGAAAGUUCGCCCAAUCGACGGAUGUCUUCUUGUAAUCCAGGCCGGAUGUAAUAAUGCAUCAAUGUAAAGAAGAUUGAAGAAUCCACUCUCUGAUGAAAACAAGGAUGUCUCUCACAUCUAGUUGGCUGCGUUUGAAGAUGUGAUAGAGUUUGAUUGUCACUGAUAGAUUCCACAAUCUAUGGGCUGUGGUAACGUCUGAAGCAAGGGUUCAGACACAUUGGCAGCUUGCAGGUUUCGCAGAAGAAGGAAGUUGUGACUCUGCCAUUCCUGGCCUUCUUCGAGCAGACCACGCAAUCAGGGUAAUACCGGGUCUUCCCUUUUUCCUUCCUCUGAUCAGCGAAAUGAUCUCCAGUGAGCCUCAGUGCCAAGCGAUUGUCCCAGGUAGACUCGCGCAGUUUCUUGGGUCGUCCAGCGCUGGAGGUCUUCGCGUAGUUGUCAAGCAGGCUGUUGAUGACUCUCAGGUGGCUAGAUGCCACAUCUUAGAAUUGGGGACAGAAGAAUAGAAAAUUUAGUACAGGCUCACCUCUCGCAUAAUCCUCUUUCAGAAAAUGUUCACUGCAGAGUUUGAGUGCAUCCUCCCUGGCCACACUGUAGAAUUAGUCCCGCUCCAUCAAAGAGUGCAUGGGCACAAGGUAGAUGUGUGAGAAAAGCUUUGAUUGCCCAUGUAAAAUCAAAUGGCAGACAAAA
rnacentral:lncRNA from 1 species